CGAAGGGUGCAAGCGUUACUCGGAAUUACUGGGCGUAAAGCGUGCGUAGGUGGUUCGUUAAGUCUGUCGUGAAAGCCCCGGGCUCAACCUGGGAAUGGCGAUGGAUACUGGCGAGCUAGAGUGCGGUAGAGGAGAGUGGAAUUCCCGGUGUAGCAGUGAAAUGCGUAGAGAUCGGGAGGAACAUCAGUUGCGAAGGCGGCUCUCUGGACCAGCACUGACACUGAGGCACGAAAGCGUGGGGAGCAAACAGGAUUAGAUACCCUGGUAGUCCACGCCCUAAACGAUGCGAACUGGACGUUGGGAGCAAUCAGGCUCUCAGUGUCGAAGCUAACGCGUUAAGUUCGCCGCCUGGGGAGUACGGUCGCAAGACUG
rnacentral:rRNA from 1 species